rnacentral:rRNA from 1 species
AGGACGAACGCUGGCGGCGUGCUUAACACAUGCAAGUCGAACGAUGAAGCCUUUCGGGGUGGAUUAGUGGCGAACGGGUGAGUAACACGUGGGCAACCUGCCCUCCACUCUGGGAUAACUCCGGGAAACCGGGGCUAAUACUGGAUAUGACUCGGGAUCGCAUGGUCCUGGGUGGAAAGUUUUUCGGUGGAGGAUGGGCCCGCGGCCUAUCAGCUUGUUGGUGGGGUGAUGGCCUACCAAGGCGGUGACGGGUA